rnacentral:rRNA from 1 species
AUCCCAUGCUAAUCAGGGUAGGGUAAGUCGGCCCCUAAGGCGAGGCAGAAAUGCGUAGUCGAUGGGAAACGGGUUAAUAUUCCCGUACCGACAAUACUGCGAUGGGGGGACGGAGAAAGCUAGGCAGGCAUGGCGUUGGUAGUCCAUGUGAAAGUGCGUAGGAAGGGGGAUUAGGCAAAUCCGGUUCCCUAUAUUCUGAGACACGAGACGAGCCACUACG